UACGUAGGUGGCAAGCGUUAUCCGGAAUUAUUGGGCGUAAAGCGCGCGCAGGCGGUUUCUUAAGUCUGAUGUGAAAGCCCACGGCUCAACCGUGGAGGGUCAUUGGAAACUGGGAGACUUGGGUGCAGAAGAGGAAAGUGGAAUUCCAUGUGUAGCGGUGAAAUGCGUAGAGAUAUGGAGGAACACCAGUGGCGAAGGCGACUUUCUGGUCUGUUCUUGACGCUGAGGCGCGAAAGCUAGGGGAGCAAACGGG
rnacentral:rRNA from 1 species